rnacentral:rRNA from 1 species
GAUGAACGCUAGCGGCAGGCCUAACACAUGCAAGUCGAGGGGCAGCACAGAAACAGCAAUGUUUUGGUGGCGACCGGUGGACGGGUGCGUAACGCGUAUGCAACCUACCUUUAACAGGGGGAUAACGGAGAGAAAUUUCCACUAAUACCCCAUAACAUCGAUCAAGGCAUCUUGAUUGGUUGAAAACUCCGGUGGUUAAAGAUGGGCAUGCGUUGUAUUAGGUAGUUGGUGAGGUAAUGGCUCACCAAGCCUACGAUACAUAGGGGGACUGAGAGGUUAGCCCCCCACACUGGUACUGAGACACGGACCAGACUCCUACGGGAGGCAGCAGUGAGGAAUAUUGGUCAAUGGGGGCAACCCUGAACCAGCCAUGCCGCGUGCAGGAAGACGGCUCUAUGAGUUGUAAACUGCUUUUAAACAGGGAUAAAGCACAGUAUGUAUACUGUGUUGAAGGUACUGUAAGAAUAAGGAUCGGCUAACUCCGUGCCAGCCGCCGCCGUAA